rnacentral:rRNA from 1 species
UACGAAGGGGGCUAGCGUUGUUCGGCAUCACUGGGCGUAAAGCGCACGUAGGCGGAUCUUUAAGUCAGGGGUGAAAUCCCGAGGCUCAACCUCGGAACUGCCUUUGAUACUGGGGAUCUCGAGUCCGGGAGAGGUGAGUGGAACUGCGAGUGUAGAGGUGAAAUUCGUAGAUAUUCGCAAGAACACCAGUGGCGAAGGCGGCUCACUGGCCCGGAACUGACGCUGAGGUGCGAAAGCGUGGGGAGCAAACAGG